rnacentral:lncRNA from 1 species
CGCCUGCUCCUCCGCCUUCUCCUCCUUCCUCCUCGGCAGCGGCCUCGCCUCCCCCUCCCUCUUCAACGGCUCCUGCGACCUCUCCUCCUCCUCCUCCUCCACCGGCGGCGGCGGAGACCUCGCCGCGGGGGCGCGGCCGUGCCAGUACGCGUCGCUCUCGGAGCUCCGGGCCGCCGCGCCCGCGGCGCUCGACAACGCCACCGCGCUAUGCACUGGCCCCUCCGCCUCCCCCGACCUCAUUGCCGACCAGGCCGGGUGCGCCGCGUGCCAGAGCGCCGUGAUCGGCCUCGCCUUUGCCCUCCUCGGUGCCGCCGGCCCAAUCGCCGAGCUCGUCCCCUGAGGCAUGGCCGCCACCAUCGAGGUCCGGUCCCGCUCCCGGCCCUUCCUCCCCCGCUUCCGCUCCUACGCCCUCUGCAUGGUCCAGGUCCUCGAGAACGUCAACGCCCUCGGCGGAGGAGGAGGAGGACGACGACAAGAGCGGAGGCGACGGCGCUAGGCUUGAGGGUAAUGAGGCCAAGUUGGGAGAGAAAGAGAGGAUAAUUUAAGAAAAUAGUUUAAUAAGGUAGGGGCAAAAUAGAUAUUUUAAUUAGGUUUUAACUCUGGUAUAUAUUUAACCCAUAUUUAACCCGAAUUAGUUUAACAGGGAAUAACUGCAGGUGUAUUUUGGAAUAACGGUGGAACAUAUGAGUGGUAUUUUAGAAAGAAAAAAAAAAUAGGAAUAAAUCAGAUAUUUUCAAACGUAUGAGAGAUAUAUAGGCAAUUAUCCCUAAUUUUUAAAAGAGUUUUUAAUUUUUAAAAGAGCUUAGUCGUUAUAGUACGAUGUAUUUAAUUAGUAAGAUACAAAUAUAAAUUUUACACCUUAAAAUUUCUUCGCUUGUUAUAUAUUUAUGAGAGAGAGAGAGAGAGAGAGAGUAGGGCUAUUAUACUCUUACGAUUUUAGAACCCUUCGUACUCAUAAAUUGUUUUAGAUGAUGGAGUUUCCGAUUUGGCGAUCCACUCAAUUAAAUAUGAUCUAAAAUAUUUGAAACUUCUAAAACUAAAUUUCGUAAUGUUUCGAAAUCAUAAUAAAAUCUAUCAAGCGGGCAUAAAAAAAAGGUCAAAAUCGAACGACGUUCUAAAAAAGGAUAAUCGGAUUCUUCAAUUUAAGAUCAGAGUUAUUGAUCUUUAUCUAAGUAAUGAGUAGAAGUCUCUAUCAAAAAUUCAAUCUAUUCCAAUUCUUUUACACCGUUAAACUAGCAAGAAUCUUAUAGUGGCCAUUAAAAAUUGUCAAUUUUGUGAUCAUUUGUUCGUAAAGUAAAUGGUAUCGAAAAAUUAUGAAAUUUAAUUUUCAGAAGUUUUAAAUACUCUAAAUAAUAUUUAACGGUAUAGAUCGCCGAUUUGGAAGCUUUAUCAUAAAAAACGACUUAUGAGUAUGUAUGAAGGCGAUCGUCUUUAUAAAAGAAUAGUAAUCCAACUAUAUAUAUAUAUAUAUAUAUAUAUAUAUAUAUAUAUAUAUACAAAUAAAAAAUUUUUUCUUUUGCGGUGGGCCCCGCAUGGGGCUACACAUGGCAGCCACGUGGCUUGCGACCUGCAACCCUUUACUUUUUCUUUUCUUUUUUUUCUUUUUUUUUUUUGUGCUUAACUAUAAAAACACUUCCUGCAUUUUACCACGUUGAGAUGCCUCCUCUAUGAACAAAUCUGAUCGGAGGUGGUUCAUAAUUCUCCCCGUACAAUCCGAUCGGUCGGAUUUGGCAAUCCGCUCGGAAAUUAAUUCUCGAUCGAUCGCAUCACUCGUGACGAUUUUACAAUCAAAUUCGAUCAGUCGGAUUUGGUGAUUCGCCCCAGGUCGAAUUCGGCAUUCCGAAUCGGUUUUGAACCUGAGAGUUCGGGGUUUUACAUAUGAGAUCGUGCAUAUCCCUAAGUAAAACUUUUUGAGCGAAUCUUUUGAAGAGUUUUACGAGAGAAAAAUUAGGGUUUUGAGAGAGCCAUACAAAGAGGAGAGAAGAAUACAGGUUGUAGUGUUCCGAUCUAGAAGAGGAGAAUGGAGAACAUUGAUUGGAGUGGCUCGUUCAAAACGGUGUUAAGGAGUUCUUCGAUAGAAAAGUUUUUUUUUCUUGUAUUAAAGGUGAUAUCUUUGGGGCAGUGUCGGAGAAGAUAUUGUACUCUUAACUACUGCAAAAAUCUUUAUGAUUCAAUCGAGGAGGCAACUGAUAGACCCGCCAAGAUAUCAGAUAAAGAAUGUGAGAAAUUAUAUCGCAAAAUCGUUGAAAUUAUUAGAUAGCGGAUUACACGAUAGCAUUUUCCACCAUGUUUCGAUGGCGGUAAAUUAAAGCCCUAAGACUUUGGCUGAAACUGAAAAAAGAGUUUAAACGAGGGAAAGACGGCAUAGAAUAAAGUGUUCUUCAUCCACAAAUCGGCGAACUCGAAAUAUAAGGAGGGGACUUCCACGGCGAAGCCUCUAAGUAACUUUCAGAAUGUUGUGAACCAGGUAGACAAGAUGAAGAUGGUGUUGUUAGAUGAGGAACGGUCGAGAUGGGGGACGACUGAGAAUCGAAGAUCAUAGACCUGGGAGAUAUUGUGCUUAUCACAAGUUUGAGGUACGUACGAACUGGUGCUAAAGAAUAUAUUGUUCGACACGCCGCAGAUAUUCACUUACAACUAUUGUCGACAGGGUGCUAGAACAAAAAGGUUACUGCAGUGUGUUCGGCGAUGGCCAGUGGAAGCUAACCAACAAAUCAAUAGAAGCAGCCAGAGGUGCCAAGCAUUGGCUCUUUCUACUUAAUAUAGGGAAAGCUCAGCAAGUGGGGAGGUGAAAGAAGCAGGGAAACUACGCACCUCAAAGCUAUGGCAUCGACAAUUAGGACAUAUAAGCCAAAAAAAAGUAUGUCAAUUUUGGCUAAUAUAAUACUUUUUCUACUGAUAGUUGUGGAGCGAAAAGGUGUGACAGUUUGCAAUCCUUUGGGAGGAAUGUUGCCGUAAGAUUGACAGCCGCAGUUAAAUGAAUAAACUCACCAAACUUUCAGCUACAUGAUGAGCAAUCUGGCUUGAAAGAAAUAGUGUUAUUUUUAGGGGACGAGGCUCAAGCCCAACUCAAGUUCUUCGCCGUAUACAUUCAUUCCAACAGGAUUGGUUAGAACAAUGCCGUUAAUUAUAUACUCGUUGCUUAAUCCUUCUCCCUAUUCUUUCAUCCAUUUCCCCCUCUAUCUCUUUUCAUUUUUUGAUGUUUUGUUUUCUCCUUUCUUGAGGUCUUGACUGCCUUCUUUAUAUUGUCAAGUUCAUACCACUUUAUGAAUGAAGCGAAUAGCUUGCUAUCUUUUUUUUUAAAAAAAAAAAGAAAAAGAAAAAGGAAAAGGUGUGACAGUUAGUUAUCUUAUGGGUAAGCAACGAAUUUCAUUUUAGACCUUUUUUCCCCAAAAAAGAACUGGUGCUUAGAUCUUAUUCAUAAUAAUAUAUGUCAUAUGAUUGAUAAGAAGACUCUUUUAGAGUAUGUUCUUGUUUCAUAACUUUCAGUAAUAAUUAAUCACCCUCUUUUAAAAGUUUGGACAUAUGGUUUAAAAUCAAAAGAGCAGGUGCUCACGUGUUCAAGCAGUUUCACAUCUCUGCUGAGAAGGGGACUAGGAAAAAGAGCAUAUGGGCGGAUAACAGGGGUAAAUAUAGAGAGGUUCUUUUGAGAAGUAGUGUCAACAAAAGUAGUAUUAGACUGGAGAAAACAGUGCCUGAAAGAACACAAAGAACUGGGGUUGCUGAGAGGAUGAACUUGACGAUCUGCGAGAAGAUCAAGAGUUUUCGGAUUCGAGGUUAAGGGUCGAAUGAUGAUUAGAUCUGGAUAAUUACUUUUUGUCUGUGUGUUUCUGUUCUUUUGUAUAUAUAUAUUUUGUAUGUAUAUCUUCGUGACAGUAAUCGGCUGAUUCAACCGUCCUAGUUUUUUGUUUCGAGGUUAAGGGUCAAAUAGUAGUUAGAUCUUGGUGUAAUUAUUUUUGUCUAUGUGUUUCUGUUCUUUAAUCUUUUUAAUUUAAAUUUUUAUUAGCCUAAUUUUUAGGUUGAGAGUCAAACUGAUUCAAGAUUUAUUAACUUAAUUUUAUUGUUGCUUAGGUUUAUAUAUGAGUCUCGAUCUAUCAAAGAUUUACAACAUCUUUGAUAGAUGUAAGUGAGAACACACAAACAUUUUUUGAUCCAAAAAACUUCAAAAUGAUUCAAGUCUGAAUUAAACCCAAACAGCAAGCUAUAUCUUACCAGUAUCCCUUAUGCGUCUUGACACAUUUAUAAAUCUGCAAAAUAUGGGUCGUCCAACCACGUAGCUGACAUAUAUUAGGUGUGUAACAGACGACACAUAUCUGGUACAGACAGAGCAUUUAAAAAUGAAGCAUCUGUGGCUCUGCGCAUCAUAGAAUGAACUCUCAAUACAUCAAUUUGUAAUUACAUUGUACCAUUGUGACCGUACGCAUUAGUUGAUACUACGUCCUGUUCAAUUGAAUGCUAAGAACAAUUAAUUGGAAGCAAUAGAUCUUUCAGAUUUAUGAAGGUACCACACUAGAAGAUGGCAACAGUUGGUAGAAAUUAUUGGACUCUUUCCCAGAAUAGCUACACACAUAAUUCCUACAUAUCUGAACAGCAUAACUACAGAUUGUAACAAUUUAUUGAUCAUUGAAGUCUCAACUAACAUUUAGAUGGAUCAUGUAGUGCACUACUCUUUCUCAACUGCCGAUUGUGCUGUUGCCUACUCGAUAUCUUGUUAAAUCUUAAAUGGGCUCAAUAGAGGAUUGCAGAGGAAAACAAUUGCUUACUAAAUCCAAUGAAGAAAUGUAAUUAGCAAAGCACUGUAAGUGACUACCGCAAACGAAAAUAAUGAUUGUUAAAUAAAAAAAAAAAAAAAAAUCAAGUACAAUUGGCAGAGAGGAGAAUUACACAGUACCUGCUUAAUCGAGUUGGUUGAGUGGUGGGGUUGAAUUGGGGAAAGUGCUGCCCCACAAUGAAAAAUGUAGCUCAGAGGAGGGGCAAAAAAAUUUAAUGUGUGCUAAUGAUAGUUAGGUACUAACAACAGUCAGUUAACUACCGGUAAGCAAACUAUAGUAGAGAUAAACGUGCGGAAACAGAACCUUGAGGAAUAGUCGUGCAAAUAAUAACUUUAAUGGGUUUGACGAAUAUACAUACUUGAUGUGUAUGUUUGAAAAAUCUCAGGACAAAACAAGCCAAUGAUCAACAAAUAAGGAAGAAUUAAUGCCUAUGAUGCCCCUACUACAGUUCUAAUAUCGGAAUGGUGUUAUGAUCAUCCCAAUUCUUAUUUGGUUUUUCUAUUGGGUUUGGUAAUCAUAUUAGAACUAUUGUUUUGAUUCUGGGCCUAUAAAUAAGAGGCUCCCCUCUUUUACAAUCAAUGGUCAUUUAUUUUAACGAAAAAGAGUUAUUCUUAUUGACUUCUAGUAUAGGCUAAGUUAUAAGAGAAAGCCCCCUCUUCUACUUGGAGCAAAAGGGCGUUCGAUAGAAAUCCAAACAACUUAGUAUUUGAGCUAUAGUUAGGAGUAGAAGAUCCUAAAAGAUGGAUGAUUAAUAGGCAACUUUAAGAGGCUAAAGUGUUAUAGUAACAGAAGCGGAACUAUGUUAGUGAUGAAAAGAUUUAAUAGAGCAGAAUAAAAUUCUACCUUAAGCAACUUGGCAACUAUUCAACUCUUGUAUAUUAAAAUGGUAUCCAAGGUUGCAAUUCCAAUUUCACAAAUAAAAGUUCAUUUCAGUGAAGUUCGAAUUUUUAUUCUUCUGGCAGUUUCAAAUUCAUUUUCAGUCAUUUCAUCUAAAGUAAUUUUGCAAAUAUAAAAAAUAUGCAAAUAUACGGAUCAAACUUCAACAUAUUUGGAGAUAACAGUUUCUUCUUACCGCAAAAACUAUGAACUUAGAAGUGAAGAGCAAUUUGAAGAAAUGACCUUAAAUCUAAAUUUGGAUAUAAUAAUUUUACUCCUUUUUGGGCUAAAAUUUUGGAAAUUACGGAACUGUUUUUUUUUUUUUUUUUGAGAGAGAGAAAGGUAGCAUGCUACCCGCUUCGUUUAUUUUAUUUAGAAAUAAACUUAGCUGGAAAUGUGAAUCAACUAGGAUUCGAACUUGGAAAUUACGGAACUGUUAUAACACAUUACAGUUAGAUAAUCAAAUGAGCAUAAUAAUUCAUCUAAAUAGCAAAAUUAUAUUUGUCAGCUAAACAUUAAUGACAAGUAUUCAAUGUGGAAAUUUGUAAGCUAGGAUUUAAAAAAAAAAAAAAAAGUUUGUAGAUCUACAUCAAUUUGUGUAGAUCUACAUAAAUCAAUGGCAGCCAUGGAACUUAAAAGAAAAAGGAAGAAGAUUAAUUGACUUGUUAGACUAUGCUGAAUAUGCAGAGAUUUUUCAAACCAUAAAACCAAACUCUCAGUGUUUCAAAAGGCUUUAUCUGAUAAGUUCUCCACAUUGUAUACUAACUGCAUACCGCUAAAGUGUUCCAUAUAGAGGUGUCAACGAGCCGAACACGAGCGAGCUAGGGCCGGCUCAUGUUUAGCUUGUUUAUGAAACGAGCCAAUCUCGAGCUAGCUCAUUAAAGUAUCGAGCCUAAAAACUCAGCUCGUUUAUUAACGAACCGAACACGAGCUAGCUCAUGGACAACUAGUUAAAAGAUUAGAAAGAAUAUAUAUAGGAUAUAAAUUUUCGAGAUCUUAUCCAUUAGACUUUGAUCUAAUUGUUGAAAUUUUAUACAUAAAUGGACCUUUUUAUAAUUGAGUUGGGCAUUAUAUUUAGGUUGGGAUAAAAAUUAAAUAAUAAAAAUCUGUAUUUUAUAUAUAUAUAUAUAUAUAUAUAUGUAUUCGAACUGUUGUCGAGCCAAACACCAGUGAGCUGACCCUAGCUCGUGUUCGGCUCGUUUAUAAGCAAGCUAAAAAAUUCAGCUCGUAUUCGACUCGUUUACUAAACGAGCGAUUUGAUCUCGAGCUCAUUUCGAGCCAAACACGAGAUGGCUCCCGAACAGUGAGCUGGAUUGCCACCCCUAGUUCCAUAUCACAAAUGAACUGGCAAACUAUUAGAAAUAAUUUAUUACCUGCCAACAAAUUAAGUACUAUAGAGCAAAAAGUUGCUGACAUCUUACAUAAGUGUGAGCAAACUCCUAUUAACAAAGCAAGUAGUAACCAAAAUAUGCCAAAAAUUUGUAAACCAAGAUAUGUCUUCCUCUAUAAAAAAAGGUAGUGAAUCUUCUCACGUCAAACCAAGACAACAGACGGUUGAGCAACAUUGCAUCCUUCAUUUGAUAGAGUACAGCUAAACGAUUGAAAGAUAAUCACUUUGUCCAUGCAUCUUUCAAAGGUGUUUCCUAUAUAUUUGAUAAUGAUAUUACAUGUUAGUUGAUUACAUCAAUAAUAUGUUUAAUUGAAAUUCCAGAUGCCAUUCAAGGAAUAACGAUUGGUGGCCUAGUUUAGCAGUCCAUAGACGUCAUAACGCACUUUUUAAAUUACCUCAUCCUAAUUACCAACUAAACAUCUAUACAAGGAUUUGUGUUUCAUAACUGGAGAAGCUCGGUUCAUUUACCAGAUUAUGAAGAGAAGCAAAUCCAUAAUGGCCACCAAGGAGAAAAAUGGCCUCAGUAAUUGUUUGCUUAUCCUUAUGAACCUGAUGUAUACGUGUAGCGUGUCUGAGCUCCAACUAUUAGCUCUACAACCUUAGCUGCAUGAGGAAUGAAGCAAGAGUAAACCACCAUGUACUUAUAUUUUAACUCAAAGCAAUAAAAAACAACAAUAAAAGUAGUAACUAAAUGUAAAGGGUCAAGCAGAGCGAAAGCCAUACGCACCAGUGAGAAAGCCAAAUAAUGGAACUGGGCUCAAAUAUCUAUCAGCCUUUUCAAGAUGAUGCCUGAGAAUACAACAUGUUAAGAGUAAGAACAAAAACUAAUAAACAAAAGCUGUAGUAUAGAUAAGAAGAUGUGUAUAAUUACUUGGUAUACUUGGUGAAGAAUGGGUCUCUCAUGAUAUAAAGCGCCCAUAUCAGCUUUCUUCUUUUUAACUGGGACAUGCCAUAUAAUACCCAUAAUCAGCACUUCACACAAGAAGUAAAAAAAAAAGAAUCCAUCUUAAGGAAUUUAAGUGCACUUGCCUCAUCUUUUUCAGAGGUAGAGAGCUGAUAAAAUUUCACUCCGACUCUGUGAGGUCGACUAGCAGCAUGCAAUAGGAUGCUCAUACUACUGAGAUCUACAGCCAGUGACACUAACCAAGGUUUCCACGAUCUAAUCCCGUAUUUUCUUAUGAACAUCACAUAUAUAAGCGGUCUCAAGAUAGAGAGAAUCUCCCCAACAAAAAAUAAACGGCCCGAAAGCCCUUUCUCUGACCAAAUACUUGACAGCGUAGGUUUUUCUACCACCAAAGCUGAAGAAAAAUCGACAAUACAUAAAGAACUUGUGAAUUUUCAACAACACAAAGUACAAUACAGCUCAACAAUCAUAGAACUGAUUAAAAUAGGUUAAAACGUACAGAGACUACGAACUAUAGACCCGUUUGAAAUGGGUACCAGAAUCUCAAACAUACUGAUUUCAAUCACCUAACCUUUCAGUAUCUCCAAUUUCAGUGCCUCUCAGUCAUAAGAUAAUGAUAUUGUGAUUCUUUUCAAAUUAGCAGAAUUUUACAUUACUUGAUGGGAUAUUCUAUAACUAUUUCCUGACGAAACUGUUUAGUUCUGAUAAAACUUGAUUGAGAGGAACUGAAAUAAAGCAUAAGGGAAAGUUAGGUACUAAAUUCAUAAUUUAAAAUUUAGAUACUCACUUCAAAAUGCAGUAUAGUUCAGCUAGUCUUUGCAGGUUUUUCACCUCUAAAAUAUUACCAGGAGGCUCAAAAGGAUGUCGAAGUCUAUUCAACAACAUCGGGUCCAACGCCAUUUUAGCAUUCUCGCCAAACCUGCUCAGUGCAGACAUAGCUCUCCCCUCCAGAUUCUUCGGCACAAUCCCAUUAUGAUUUUUUGAAUACCCAUUUUGAUGACCAUUCCUCACAUAGCCACCAGGCCAUCCAUUAGCCCUCAUACCACCACCAUAGUCUUCGGGAACAUCUAAUAUCUUCUCCUCAUUCACCACCUCCCCUCCUUGUAGAAGCAUCCUGUACCCGCUAUCGCGGAAAGCAGCUAAUCUCACCAGUGCCCUGAAUUGCAAACAACCCCAAGUUGCCGUGUCACAAGCAAGACAAAAAAAAAAAAAAAAAAAAAAAAAAAGAACCGACGGAGCAUGUUCUACAUGCUUGUUUACCCCUACUUGUACUUCUACUUUCAGCUGCAGCCACUGAUAGCCUCUAUCAUAACAAGAAGAUGAAAUGAAAUUCUCACCUCCAAAAUGAGCGGACGAGGGGGUCUUAUAUAUAGUGCCUCCCCCUGGCAGCACUACUCGAACAGCACUUCCAUCAAACAACAAUUCAUUAUAUAACAUAACCUAAGCUCUUGCCGGGCCCAGCUUCUCAAACAGCUUUUCUGCUCGCUUUCGAUUGCGACAGCAAGCUCAAACUGAGCUUCUAGCGUCAAAAAGCAGAAAGUCUAAUUUGAAGCUUCUGAUUCAAGCUAAGGCAGAAGCUGACAGAAACUUCUUUGUGUGUCAGAUCAACAGCAAGGACAGACAGGCUGACAGACAGCCAGCCCCUAACUAACUUGAAGAUUAAUUCAUGAGGCAAGGGGUCUUACUUCACUCCCUCGGCGACGGCGAGGAAGUUCCACUUCCCCUUCUCCCCGAACAAAUGCUGAGCACCAACUUCAACCACGGUCUCCGCAUCUUUGAGAAUCGACACGAACAAAGACCACGGAAAACCCGACUUCUCGGGCUUCACCGGAAACCCCCGCCCGGGAGGCGGCGCCGUGUCAAUUAUAUGCUGGUUCACGGUUCCGACUAUGCCCAAAACCGCAUAAACUGCACCCCCCCCCCAAAAAAAAAAGAGAAAAAAAAAAGAAGAAAAAUCCAAUACAUAGCCCUCAAAAAACCACAAUUCCCACAAAAUUAUCAUUUACGAAUCUACGCGGAAAAGGUAAAUGUUACCGAAAUUUCACAGAACCUGCUUCGGGGCCGAUCUCGGAGUUGGAGAAGCGCUCGGGGAGGAGCCAAGUGAUGCCCUAAUCGAUCGAAUUCGACGAGAUUAGGAUCGGAUCGGAUCGGAUCGGAUCGGAUCGGAUCGAACCGUGCGAUUUGAGGAGAAAUUCCUAUGAGAAAGGAAAACAAAAAUCAAAAAUCGGGGGCUUACGUUGGCUAGGGAUUCGAGGGAGCGGACGAACUCCCGGUUCGUCCGCACCCAAAGCUUGUAGGCGUCCAUGGCGUUCUUCGUCGUCUUCUUCCUUCUCCUCCUAAUCCGAUUCUAGUCGCCUCCCCCAGGACAUGUAUAUAUGAUUUUUUAUUUGUUUUUUUUUUUUUUUUUUNUUUUUUUUUUUUUUUUUUUUUUUUUUGUUAACGCCGUGGGAAUAUGAGUUGGUCGGAAAGGGCAAACGCCGUUGGGAAUCUUGGGAUCAAGUUCGUGUACCGCGUCCAUGAAAGUGUACAGCUGGGAUUAAAAAUAGAGUUUUAUAAAUUUACUAAAAAUUAUAAUUUUUUAAUAUGCUUUUACUAAUAGCCCAAUUUUAAAAGUAGGAAAAGGCGCGGUGCGUGUAAUUUUUUAAUCAUAAAAUUAUCUCCAUAUUUGCACAGUAUUAGUAAAAAAAACUUUACAAGACACAUGGCGUAUAAUGCUGCGCGUUUCUUAAAGCGAUCCAACGAUUAAAAAGUCCUAAACAUGAAUGCUUCUAUGCUUUUAAAAGUGAAGGAGCUCGACUUUUAACUUUUGAUAUCUCUUCAAAAUUAUCAAUACUAUUUUUAAUACUAUAAAUUAAUAAUUUAUAUAAAAAAUAUCCUCCAUCAGGUGGAUUAUUGUGUACCUAGUUGCAUGUAAUUGUAAAUAGGGAUAAUAGCUUAUAUGUUUUUCAAAACUUAAAAAUUAUCUUAUUUAUUUUUUGAGAAUCAAGAUAUUCUUGUUGAUUUUAAAAAAUUUCGUGAAACAACCGUUGUACUCAAGCUUAAGCUGGCCUGGGCUCGAGACUUUUUAAUCGGCCUAUGACGUGGGCUUGAAUUAAAUGGGAGAAAAUUAAUAUGCUAGGAACCUAGCGUGACUCGAACUCAGGACCUCCUGCUCUGAUACCAUGUGAAACAACCGUUGUACUCUAAAAGCUUAAGCUUUUAGAUAACGGUAUUUUAAACAUUUUUAUAUUUUUUACAAAUUUCUUCAAAUAUUCUCAUUUUUCCUAGGGUUUCCUAAUGGGAUUAGAUUCUGUAAAAGUAUUUUGAUAAUUUUGAAUAAAUUUAAAAUUUUUGAAUAAUUGUAAGUGGUAAAUAAGCAAAAUCUCAUAUAAAUAAUAGCGUGGUACUAUGUGAAGGUAAUCAAUUUAUUUCCUAUUCAAAAAUUACUCUGAUUUUUAUGUAUGAUUCAAUUACAUGAAUAUCUUUUUUGUCUACUUAAAUUUAUUUAUUUUUAUUUAAUAUCAUAUGAGUCUCAUGUUGAUCUUAGUUAAUAAUUAAUUCUAAAGUUAGACUAUACUUUUCUUUGUGAAUUUAUUUUCUACUUUCUCUAAAUUAGCAUGAUUUUUUUGUUUAGUAUUCGUAUAGUUUAGUAAUUAAUUAGUUUUAUUUUAGUAUAAAUUCAUCUAUAUUAUUUCCUUUAAGCUGAUUAAAAAGGCAUAAAUAACUGAUUAUGGGCCAAAAAGAAAAGUUUAGUUUUUAGACAGAUUAUAUGAGUAUUUCUGAUAAUUUUGAAGAUUAGAAGAAUAUUUUUGAUAUUAACACUUUUAGAUGGAUUUUAUGUAAUUAAGGUUGUGCACGUGAAAUUAUCCUUUUAAUAUAUGUAUUGAGUAAAAAAAGAAAUGAACGGUGCAUAUCUAUAAUCUAUAAAUCUAUAAUCUAUCUACAAACAUAUAUUAUUUCCCAAUAAUUUUGCUGACGUGGCGCAACAUUCUUGCUUUGAGAAUUUUUUUUUCUCAUUUAGAUAGCUUGCUUACCCUCUCUCUCUAUGUAACUCCCAUGUCCCCCGUCUUCUCUUUCCCUUCCUGUGUCACUUCGUUUUCCUCCUCUUUAUAACUCCUCAUUCUUUUCCACAGCCACCAUAUUCUCUUUUUCUCUCUAUAUAACUCCUAUGUCCUUCCUUCUUCCCUUCUUCUCCCCGCGUCCCUCCGUCUUCCCCCUGCCAUGACUCUCCAUUCUUCUCUAACCACUACGAGUCUUUGCAAAAGAGAUACUACACAUCAUUUUUAAUCCAAAUCCUUACAAUGUUCAAUCGAACGAUUGAUAUAAACCGAUCAUUUCCUCAUCAAUAUAUCCAAUGGUCGAGAUCAUACGAGAUUUGUUGGCACUUUUUCCACACGCUCUCUAUAAACCCUCUCUACUUUAUCUCUCACACUCCUUUUAGGAUUUCUGCCUCUUUUGUACCCUGAAGCUAUACUCAAAGCGGCAUCAUAGAAUGAUCCCCUUCGGGAUCAACAGAGCCCUUUAGCCGAAGAGGGACUUUAUUUGCUUCGUGAAGUGGCCGAAGGUGGUGCGGAUCCAGUGGCAGAGUAGGAUUCUCAUGCAGAGGUUGAAGGCGCUCCCCACUUUGAACCAAUUCAUCAAGACCCUUGAUAAGAACCUUGCUAAACUACUAAUAUUCUUUUUUUUUGUUUUAGAGAUUUUGUUAAUAUAAUUGUAUCAUCUCUAUUGAAUUACUUGUAGUAUUUAUCCAUCACUAAUCUCUCUCUCUCUCUCUACGAAUGCUCAAGAAGUUUUGGCAAAUCUCGCCCACGGUUCAAAAUCGCCUCAAAUUGGUAGGGUUUCGCAUUAUUUUCUAUUGAUUUCGUCUUUGAUCGAUCUAAUUUUUGACUCUAUAGAUUGGAUCCUUGAGGUGGGGAACAAGGCGUCAAAUGUCGUUGGGGAGAUUCUUCACAAGUAUUUUCGCCAAAGGUUCAACAUCAUCGACAAAGAGGAUCUUAGUCUUUGGUACCCUUAUUGCUCGUCUCUGCAAGGGAGAACCCAUAAAUUUUGGACAUAUUAUGUGAUUUAUUUGUAUGUACGAUUGUUUACAUUAUUCAUGUUUCCUGUAUACUGUUUAAUUUUAAAGAUUUUAUAUCUUGCAGACGUGUAUUUAUCUUUUCUUGUAGUCUAACACUUUCUUGACCUUGAGUUUAAUUGUAUAGAUUGUUGAGUGUAUACAGAUAAAAAAUUAUUUUAGUAGUUUUUUACCAAUUCUUGCAAACUAUUUAAACUAAUGUUCUUCAUUUCAUAUUAGAGUAUUAUUUUCUAUGUAUUUGAUGAACUAUACAUUUAAGACUUAUUUCUCCAAACUAUUAUCGAUAAUCAACAAUAACUAAAAAAAAUAAUUGCUUUGAUAAUAUCUACUCGCCACAUCGUACUGGUAACUACACUAGUUAAAUAGAAAAAAGAAUAGCAUGAAUACUCCCCAUUAAAAACCAAAGCCAUUAUUCUUGAUCAAGAUAUCAAAACAUAUUUCGUAAAAAAAAUUUAAC